AUACGUAGGGAGCAAGCGUUGUCCGGAAUUACUGGGCGUAAAGGGUGCGUAGGCGGUUUGAUAAGUCAGAUGUGAAAUACCCGAGCUCAACUCGGGGGCUGCAUUUGAAACUGUCAAACUUGAGUGCAGGAGAGGAAAGCGGAAUUCCUAGUGUAGCGGUGAAAUGCGUAGAUAUUAGGAGGAACACCGGUGGCGAAGGCGGCUACCUGGACCGAUACUGACGCUGAGACGCGAAAGCGUGGGGAGC
rnacentral:rRNA from 1 species